rnacentral:lncRNA from 1 species
CCAUCCCUCCAAAAUCUCCCUGUUCUCCUUCAAAUCUGUGGUUUCUCUUUUUCACAAAUUGUUGCUCUGUGUGUGUAAGUGUAUGCAUAAGCAUAAGUGUGUAUGUUCCUAAAUGUGUUACGUGUGUGGGUUCAGUCUGCAUAAUGUUCCCUGUCAGGGUUUGUUGUCAGGGUUGCCAUUUGGCACUGAACAACCGGUUGGUGUCCUCCUGCUCCCAGCUUUCCUCAGGUGCCUUUGUGUAGGGUUGAGGCCCCAUGGACUUUCCUCUGUGCACUUUGGCAUGACCACUAUGUCAUCCUUGUUGAACUUAUAUCUGGGCAGUCAUGUUGGUGAGGACCUGAUGGCUAUAGCCUCCAAUAUUUCUAGAAGACACAAUAUCAUAGCAGACUCAGUCUUUCUCCUCUCUUCCACAAUCCCUGAGCCUGAGGUACAUGAGUAUUAACUAACUACUCAGUGCUAGUGAAGUCAUGGAGAGUCUG